CAUACUAUACAGUAUAUAUCUA
rnacentral:miRNA from 1 species